rnacentral:lncRNA from 1 species
UCUUUAGCAAUAUUUAUUAUGAUCACAAUACCAAGGAUUUGACUGAGCAACUGUCAACCAAAACCAACAUCCAAAUAUUGAUCACACAAGCAAAGAUCAAGCAGAGUAUAUUCCAACCUACUUGGUGAAUUCGAGAACCCAAGCAGUGGAGAAACAAUACUGAGCUUUAAACCCUGUGAAGCCUGCUCCCUUGGCCAAGUCCUGGUACUCUUUUUCGGUCCUCUCUUUCCCACCAGGGUUGUGAGCCAACAUGAUCAUGUCCAGAUGGAAGACACCCUGUGCUGAAGGAACUGGUUCUGGAGCUACUGGAAGGAUGCACUCGCAAAGGAUCACCCUCCCGUUGUUUGGCAGAGCUUUGUAGCAGUUCUCCAAGAUCUUCGCACAGUGCUCGUCGCUCCAGUCAUGCAUGAUCCACUGUGAAUCACAUUAUUCAACCUUAGUCGCUAAAUCUAGGAUACUCCUAGUUCUUGGUUUGGUUUGAAGGUUACAAGCUAAAAAAAAAAAAAAAGAAACGUUUUGGAGGUAGUGAUCAAGUCACAAGUGAAACCAUUGGACCAAGAUGUUCACCCAUUUUUGGGCCUCCACCUACCCAAUCGCAUCCAUCUGAAGUGGAGUUUAGUGGUUGAGACAAGAUAUCGUAGGGUGCAGAAUGAUGGAAGCAUCUCAAUCCAAUACCUAAAGUUGAUGUCGACCGAUUUGACUCACAAUUUAUUUUGUUGCGUUUUAAUCAUGUUAGUUUAAUGUCCAUAUAAUGGCAGGUGUGAUUAGUUCCAAUACAAAUGGCAGUUUGGAAAAAAAAAGUAUAGGAUAUAAACUAAUCUUCGUUCUGAAGGAAUUAUUUGGCAAGAGUAGCAUCUCUAGCUGCCCCUCUCUCUCUCUCUCAAAAGAAAAAAAAAAAUCUGCCUAUUAGCUACUCUAAGGUCGGAAUUCUGGCACUCCGGUAUAGAUUUCUUUCUUUUCUUCUUUUUUUUUUACUUCUUAUUUUUUUUUGGAUAAGAGACCUAGAUUAUGUAUUUGAGUCUUUAGGACAAAACUCCAACAAUAAUUUUAUAAGUUGGUAUCUGGGUUAAAGUGGACCGGCAUUGGAUUGCCAGCAUCAACUAACCAUUUAUACCAUAUAUAUAUAUAUAUAUAUAUAUAUAAAAUAAUAUUUUGUGAAGGAGUAUUAGAGCGUUGCCAACUCAGCUUCUCAAAUAAAUUUUAUUGUACCACUUGAAAAGAAUACAUCUUUACAUUAAAUUAUAUUAUUAAUAUAUGAUAUUAUUAUAUUAUUAUAAUUAAAAUUUAUUUAUAUAGGUAGUUGAGAAUAUGAAGUGAUCCUAAGAAUUUGAAUGAAUAUUAUUUUAUUAUUUAUAUAAAUUUUUUUUCAAUCUGUUCAGAUCUAGAAGAAAAAUUAUUUUCAUACAUCCGGCUCCACGCAAUGUGCGGGUCUUCGACUAGUUUAUUAUUUAAAAUGAAGAUUGCCAUGAUAGUCACGCCUCUUAUGUAGCUAUCACAGAUUCUCAAUUUGAAUUUUAGAUUUUGUAUUUGCAAGUAUUUUCAUAUUAGGUCUAAAUUCUCUGUGAUAUAAAAAAUACCGCAUGAUGCUGUGCAUGAUUGAAUAUCGUCCAUCUUAAGAUGAACAGCCACACGUGCUUUAAAAAAACUAAAAGAAAAAAAUAUAUAAAUCCUUGAUGGACUGCAUCUAACUAUGUACAAUACUCUAUGAUACUUUUUGAGUAUCAAGUAGAAUCCCGAUCCUUAGACAUUACCAUUACAGUGCAAGUGGAUCUUUUUUCUUUAUCUUAUACAUUUAUUAUAGAUAAAUUCCAUUCUCUAUGCCUAGGGGAAUAUAAAUUGUGCCUUCAGUACUCCUAUAGUAAGAUAAAAGAAUUAACUUCAUCAUAAAUCAAAAAUUAAUGUUCACUUCAAAUGAAUGGGAGCACAAGUAAAACUUUAAGAUUUAUGAACAAAAUAAACUAUUUUCACCACACUCAUUGGCAAGAAUAAGAUAAUUUUAAUUUUAUUCGGAGAUUAUUUAUCUAGGAUUGUGUAGCAAAAUAUAUAGGUUGUUUUCUCCUAUGCAUAAAUUUCAUACUCUUCUAGACUAAAUAUGCAGCCCAUGCUACAUUGACCACCGGUUUUCUUCAUUAAUACCUAAUUUGUCCCAUUAUCGUUGCAUGGGUGGUUCAUCAUUUUCUCCUGCUGAUAGUUUAUUCUAAGUAUAGAUCAGACCCUGUGGCUGUGAGAUGUGAACACAUUGCUCCACUCGCUUGGCCAAAAUAAAGAAGGGAAAGCAAGCAAGAUUGGGCGUCUUAUGUUGACAAGUUCCAAACGCGUGAAUGCGACUUCUAUGGAACAUAGAAGAUAGAGCCGAGGGGAGUUACCAUCGAUGCAGUGACUUUGGAAAAGAAAAAUUAAAAAAAAAGGAACAAUUUGAAGCCAAGUUUUUACCAAACCUAAUUUUAAAGACUUGAAGGCCAUUCUAUUGGGUGAUUCCAAAAUUGCGGAGAGAUGGCUCGAACGGUUUGGACGGCCAAUGCGAACAACAAUUAAAAAAGUGACAAUUUUUGGGGAGACUUUUGUAACAUCAAAGACUAGUGUGUCUAAUCCUAUUAGAUUAAAGAGACUGUAAUGGAAGCCGAUCGGGUUGUAGCUCAAGUAGAAUGGGACUUUAUUUCCAUACGAUAGACUAAGGUUCGAAAUAUGCAUGUAUUGAUUAAAUCAUGGAGCAGAUGACUUAUAUCCUGAUCGAUCAUACGGAAAUACUAUUUGAUCCACUUAGUGGUUCGAUUGGCAUCAGAAUGAUGUACUCAUACGAGGAAGAAAAAUCCUCUCGAUCCGCGUGGGGAGAAUUGGCAACUUUGAGUGUCCUAUGGUGGGAUCUUGUGACUUGGAUGAGUCGGCCAUAAGGCAAAAGUCAUUCGAAUCGAACAUUCUUCGAUGGAAGGGAGUCCUUAUGGUUAUGCCUAGGGAGGAUUGAUAUGCGGGUUGCCUCCCCUUCCUUUUGUAAUAAUAAUAAUAAAAAAAAGAGACUGUAAUGAAAAUGUGCCUAUAUACUUGAUUUGAAUGCUAAUGUUAGAUAUUCAGCCUAAAAAAAAAAAAAGUUUCCAUUGGAUAAAUGAAAUCCUUUUGUUUCAUUUGUGAGUUAGGUGCUAUACUGCGAAGAGGAUUUUAUCGAGUCAGGUUUAAUCUAACCUAAAUUUAACCAUUGAAUUAGUAGUUUCAAAUUGCUUAUAGGCCAAAAUCAUUAGAUUGCUUCUGCAAUUUUCUCGCUGUUUUAGGUUGGACAGGCCUAUAUGGUCCUCUUUGGACAACUAGACUCGAACAUGAAGAAAGGCUCAAGAUAAUUGGUCCAAAAUGGAUCUCAUGGUCCAAAUACUUAAUUUGCUUGCUUAUUUUUUAAGGAAUGCUCAAAGGCAACGAUGUAGAUCGACAGCCAUAACUGAGAUGCUGUAUAAUGUUGCAUGCCAUGUGCCUUUGUGAUCAUUAUUUUUGUGACUUAUUGAGAAAUUUCUAACUUAUUUACAAGUCAUGCUAGACCUAACUUGACUUGCUUGUAGUUUAGCUCUUGCUUUAUAUUUACUCUAUAUUUGAUUGUCUCGGCCUCUUUUGUUUAGUUCACCUAACCAAAACUACUCCAACCCAAGCAUACACUAAUUUAAAUAUAUAUUGAUUUGACUUCUGUAACGAAGUAGUUGGCAAAACUUACCUUCAUGAGAAUAGCAUCCCCACUAGGAAUACUAGCAAACAUAUCUCCACCAACAUGCUCUACACCUGCACAAGAAUUACGCCAGACCAGACCGAAUUAUUAAUCUAAAAGAAUUUCUCAUGGCAAAGCAAUCAGAAAGCACACAAGUCUGGCAAGGAUAACAAACCUGGCAAUGGUGGUGCUUCAGAGAUGACAUGAGGAAGAUCAAAGUUGAUGCCCUUGAUGUGAGGAUACUUGGAGGUGAUCAUGUGGAGGGUGGCACCGAUGCCACCACCGACAUCGACGAGCACGUUAAUAUCUUCGAAGCCCUUGUACGACUCUAAAAGCUUCUUAGUGAUGACGAUAGAGUGGUUCUUCAUGCCUUCAUUGAACACGUUAUUGAACCUAGGAUCGGUGCCAUGAUACUCAAAUGCUGUCAUGCCAUAAGCCUUGUUGAAGGGAAUUCCCCCAUCCAAUACCGCAUCCUUCAAGUAGUACCUAUUUUUGUUGUGGAAGGUAAUUUUAAAAAAUCAAUCAUUGGUUUUUUUUUUUUGUAAAUUUAUUCUUUAUAUGGGAUUACCAAGUGUCAACUACCAAUAUUGUUGUGCUGAACUUAAUUUACAUGUGAAUCUAAAACAGCCUUCCCAUUAAUUAGAAGGCCUUAUUAAGGGAAACGGGAUACUAGUGGUUCAUGUAUAUAUAUAGAAGAUUUGGAAAGCCAAAAGCCGUAGAAACACUUGACAGCAUAUUAUAUUGCCACCAUGCUAACGAGUCACGCAACAAAAUAGAUGUGGACGGGUCCUGGUCCUCUUCUUGAAACGGCACCUCAUGAGAAACCCGUUUCCCAGGACAGAGAAACUGAAGGAAUGAUGAGGUGCUUCUCAAAGGAAUUUGAUUAUUUCUGGAUCCAUAUCAUGUCUGCUUGUCCAAAAUCUAAUCACCCAUCAUUUGAAUAUACCCAACCUUUCAUGCAUAUGAAAGAAGGAUUAUUCAUCUUCUUUCACCCACUAGACACUUUGAGACCCGUGGAGAUCGAUAAACACAGAGUUUUAGAUCAUUUUGAGGUCUUCUUUCGCGGUGGGUGAUCCAAUGAUGGAUUCGCAUGAAGGAAGGCGAAUCCUUCUUUAAAGAUACAAACCCAUGCCAAGGCUGGGGAUAACCAGAGAGCUAGGGUCCUACUACCAAUUCUGAAUCUAAGAUGUUUGCCCCUAUGGGAAUCGUAUUCCCACACGUGAAACGCGUUCUGCACUUUUAAAGGAAUGGUUGUGCCUUAGCUCUUACCAGCUCUCCAUGAGGACCUUAUCCUGGUUCAUGAGGGUGAGCGGGGCCAUGGACACCCCAUCCUCGUUCUUGGUCAGCCACUUGCACACCGGCGCCGGGCCAUAUCGCCGCAAUGGCUUCCCAUCGGCGUCGACCUCCACGGAGCAAGUGAGGAUGUUGUAGGAGGCGAGGAGGCGGAGCAUGCGGUCCAGCAUGGUGGCGGCCAUCGAAUUCUCGGUGGGUAGUUGGGCAGCCACCUGGGCCGGGCUGAGCUUGCCCUCUGGGCCGGCUUUUGCAAUGAUCUCGAGGACGUCGAGCUCGAUGGCGGCCUUGAGGGUCAUGGGCAGGAUGGAGGAGCUCACCAGCUGCAGUGCGUACAAGCACGCCGCCUCGUCGCCGGCCUGAUUCUCCACCGACGGCGCCGGCAUCCCCUGCUUCUCGAUAGACCCCAUUCUCUUCUUGUCGAUGGUGGUUGUGGUGGCAGUGGUGGCGGUGGUGUCUUUGAGAGGAGUUUGGGGCGUUGGCGAGAUGGAGAGAAGCCUAAUGGAGGGGGUUUAUAUGGGACUUGUGUCCAACAACCGCGCCACCUACCGUCUUGGACUUGUAUUUUUUAUGUUUAUUUUCUUGAUUUUUGGCACUUGAAUUUUUUAUUUUUUUAUGUUUAUUUUCUUGAUUCUUUACGCAUAUGUAACCCCCCAAAAUAGACGGUCUGAACCCCAAAACUAUAUAUGAAAGGCUCACAAGAUUAAUUUAAAAGAGUAGAUAUAUACAACUGGAUCCAUUGACUUGUUUAUUAGAAGGUUUGACGGCACCCAAGCUAGUUUUGAGUUAAAAGACAAGGCUCCAUGAUGGUCUGGAUUAUACAUUUCUUAUGGGGCUGCAAAGGUUACGCUUUAAUACAAAAGGUUUGGGCCUAAUCAUAUUAAAAACAAAACAUCAGGCUUCCACUUGGUCCAAGCCCUAAUUUGGCUGCUGAUGAACAUUUAUAUGCAUACUUUCUAUAUGACAGCCCCAUUUUAUACCUUAACUUCGGUCCUUAAGAGAUAUUGAAAUGAAUUAAAGAAAAAAAAAAAAUCACCUAAACACUAACAGGAUAAAUGUAAUCAACUAUAAAAUGCAUUGAUGUGCUCAUGCUGCCAGCUUUGUUAUGAGUCAAUAUAUGAUUCUAACGAGAGAGGCUAAGCAGGAUCGAAGUACAGACAUGAAGCAUUACCUCAAAACAUGUAUGAGCGCUACCGUGAUGCUUUUAUACCUUGCCUUCCAUGGUUGUCAGGAUUGGUGUGAUAACAGGGAUAGAUGGGUGACAAAUGAGAUUAAGAAUUAGAUUUCAAUGGCGGCCUACAUAACCAUGUAUUUUGUCCAUUGAGAUUUUGACGUCAUUAUCAUCCAUCAUUUUAAUGACUCAAUACAAAAUUUGCAAAACAAAUUGAUGAUACAUUUUGUAUUUUAAUAAUAUUAGAGGGGUUAAUCAGUGCAGUUAGUAAAGUUGUUGUGUUUGUUACGAAUAACCUGGGCUUGAGUCAUGCUAUUCGUUAAUUUUUAAACCAAAAUUUCACCCAUUCUAGUGCUCAAAGAAAAAGAUGUUCAAAUAAUGCUUCACAUCCAAUUGUUUAUGUUAUGCACACAUCAGCUGCUGAGCAAGAAAACAAAGUGGUUGGACAUUACUCGCCUAAGAAAAAAGUGUUUAUUCUUUGAUUUUUUUUGCAACGAUUGAUGGUGCCNNNNNNNNNNNNNNNNNNNNNNNNNNNNNNNNNNNNNNNNNNNNNNNNNNNNNNNNNNNNNNNNNNNNNNNNNNNNNNNNNNNNNNNNNNNNNNNNNNNNNNNNNNNNNNNNNNNNNNNNNNNNNNNNNNNNNNNNNNNNNNNNNNNNNNNNNNNNNNNNNNNNNNNNNNNNNNNNNNNNNNNNNNNNNNNNNNNNNNNNNNNNNNNNNNNNNNNNNNNNNNNNNNNNNNNNNNNNNNNNNNNNNNNNNNNNNNNNNNNNNNNNNNNNNNNNNNNNNNNNNNNNNNNNNNNNNNNNNNNNNNNNNNNNNNNNNNNNNNNNNNNNNNNNNNNNNNNNNNNNNNNNNNNNNNNNNNNNNNNNNNNNNNNNNNNNNNNNNNNNNNNNNNNNNNNNNNNNNNNNNNNNNNNUAUAUAUAUAUAUAUAUAUAUAUAUAUAUAUAUAUAUAUAUAUAUAUAUAUAUAUAUAUAUACAUAUAUAGUUACAACCUUAUGUCUUUUUGAACGUGUCCAUGUCAAGAUGUAAAUAAAUUUUGAGCUACUCAUGUUGGGCAGUCUGCUGAGACUGGUUCAGACUAAACGAAUGAGAUAUAUUUUUAUUAAGAGGGCUAUGUGUAAAAUGCUUCACGCUAAGAUUCAAACUAGCCUCGCUGUCACUAGUUCAAACUUCAUUUAUUGAUAUUUUGCUUGUAAGUCAUUGUUAAGAGCAAAACUUGCCAUAUUGGUCAAUACCAGUGCAUACCAACUGUAACAUAUUAUAUCAACAUCGAGUAGAUAUGCAAUAUAAAAAUCUAUUGAUUGUUGGUACACCAAAUUGAUUACCAUAUCAAACAUACCAACAUAAUAAUGGAAUAAUACUAGUUUGGAGUCUUGUAAUUAAACAGUGAAUAUUGGUUGAGAAAAAAAUAUUUCUAUCUCAAGUCUCUUGACCAUGCCAACCAGAUAAAUCGGAUCCAUCCUCGAUUCUCAUGGGUCAGCUGACCUAUCACCAAUGAAUGAGCCAUGCCUUCUCUCACAUGACAUGCGGACCAAGGAUGCGGUCUAUAGUGCAUUUGACCAUGGCCAUGAAAUCAUCAAAUUCUAGCAUGAAGAUUAGCACAUUUACUUCCUUUGGCAGCUGAUAUUAAGCAUUUUGCUUCUUUAGUCCUUUCAACAUAAUUAAUUAAAAGACUGGGGCAGGAUGCUUGAUAGCUGCAUCUACAUAUAUUCUAGACAGGUACUUGUUAGAUAAAGCAGUACUGGUGUCAUGGAGCCAAUCCUGUAAUAUAUGUUUGUACUCAGGCCACUCACAAAAGCAACAAAACCAAUAUGAACCAAAAGUGCAAAUGCUGAGAAAAAUAUUAGAUCAAUAGAUUAAUUAAACAAAAAGUAGGAAAACAGCAGUACAACUCUUUACCAAUAUUUAUUAUGAUCACAAUACUAAGGAUUUGACUGAUCAACUUUCAACCAAAACCAACAACCAAAUAUUGAUCACAGAAGCAAAGAUCAAGCAGAGUAUAUUCCAAUCUACUUAGUGAAUUCGAGAACCCAAGCAGUGGAGAAACAAUACUGAGCUUUAAACCCUGUGAAGCCUGCUCCCUUGGCCAAGUCCUGGUACUCUUUCUCGGUCCUCUCUUUCCCACCAGGGUUGUGAGCCAACAUGAUCAUGUCCACAUGGAAGACACCCUGUGCUGAAGGAAUCGGUUCUG